AGAUCCCUUCCCGCCAGGCCUACGACUGCAGAGUUUCAGGUGGGCCCCACGCCUGCGGACACGGUGUGCCAACUUCGCGGAUGCCGCCAUCUUUGGGGAAGGACUAGCGCACAACUUCCGGAUGGGGCGGGACUUCCGAAUGAGCACCAAGGCUAUGUAGAGCUGGGCGAGUGGCGCUCCCUGCUGGUCGGAGGGCAGCAGUAGUGGACAGUUCCUUGAAAAAAUGAGACCCUUGCCGACCUAGGUGGAGACCUGUUCGGGAAGUUUCCAUCCUCCCAGGUCUGUUUCCCCCAAGGCUGCCCUUCAGCUUCUCAGAAGCCCUCUAUGAACUUCCAGCUCUCCAUACAGACUCCAGUCUUCAAGUCUUUUAAAGAUGUUUUUUGAUGUUUGCCAACUUGUCAGCUCUAACAGGAAAAGGAAAACAAAGUCGAGCACACAGUUGCCAAUCAAGCCAGGCCCUGAGCCUUUGGUGCGUCCUUGAAUAGCAGCAAACUUGUCUACUAUAUCUGCCAGGGUGCCUCACACCAACCUAUUUAUUUUUGCUAAUGAGACAGAAGUAGAAGAUUAGGAGUUUACAGUGUUAGGAGUUAUGCUUUGGAAGCCAACUGACUUAAUCAAUGUCCAGGGUCAAGGCUUUCCCCACCAUCGCCCAAGUCUUUGUUUGACUGUAAUGAGCUGCAGGUGAAUUAGCCACAUUUGAAUUCAAGCAGAAGAGGACAUUCAUGACUUCAGGAUAAAGCUUAUCCCUGACAAUUCUCAAAAUGCGUCUGAUUUACUUUCACGAAGACUACCCAAUGCUUUUGAAAUGAGUCUCUCAGAAAAGGAGUGUUGUAUGGCUUCCUGCCAAUGACAUCACAAGAGAAGUGGACUCAGUAACUUCAAAAGUGAUUUCUGAUUGAAUGCUGCAUGUUUAUUUGCAUGGUUUUGCAUUUCCAAUUCCAGACUGAAUUCUAUCUCCAUGCUGAGCCUCAUGUCAGACACUGGAGAUGAGCUGCACAGACAGCAUCAGAGUGAGAUGCACAGUACUGAGCGUUUACCUUCACAGAGGCUGGCACUCUGGGAGCACAAACAUUAGAACAUGUUAUUUAAUUUGGUGGUAGAAUCUCUUCUCUGAGACCAUCAGGCACAUACAUACACUUUCUUUUUUUUUUAGAAUUUUUGUCGUAAUUUUUAAUUCAACUUU